GCAGUCGACGACUCUGGUAUUGAUUGGUGCUUGCAUCAUGAUUUACAUUUGAGUGAGUGGCGAACUGGUGAGUAACACGUGGGAAACCUGCCCAGAAGCGGGGGAUAACACCUGGAAACAGAUGCUAAUACCGCAUAACAACUUGGACCGCAUGGUCCGAGUUUGAAAGAUGGCUUCGGCUAUCACUUUUGGAUGGUCCCGCGGCGUAUUAGCUAGAUGGUGGGGUAACGGCUCACCAUGGCAAUGAUACGUAGCCGACCUGAGAGGGUAAUCGGCCACAUUGGGACUGAGACACGGCCCAAACUCCUACGGGAGGCAGCAGUAGGGAAUCUUCCACAAUGGACGAAAGUCUGAUGGAGCAACGCCGCGUGAGUGAAGAAGGGUUUCGGCUCGUAAAACUCUGUUGUUAAAGAAGAACAUAUCUGAGAGUAACUGUUCAGGUAUUGACGGUAUUUAACCAGAAAGCCACGGCUAACUACGUGCCAGCAGCCGCGGUAAUACGUAGGUGGCAAGCGUUGUCCGGAUUUAUUGGGCGUAAAGCGAGCGCAGGCGGUUUUUUAAGUCUGAUGUGAAAGCCUUCGGCUCAACCGAAGAAGUGCAUCGGAAACUGGGAAACUUGAGUGCAGAAGAGGACAGUGGAACUCCAUGUGUAGCGGUGAAAUGCGUAGAUAUAUGGAAGAACACCAGUGGCGAAAGCGGCUGUCUGGUCUGUAACUGACGCUGAGGCUCGAAAGUAUGGGUAGCAACAGGAUAGAUACCCUGGUAGUCCAUACCGUAACGAUGAUGCUAGUGUGAGGUUUCGCCCUCAGUGCUGCAGCUA
rnacentral:rRNA from 2 species